UAACCGGAAGGCAGCAAACUGUUGACAUGGUGCUACCACAGCAUCUCGAAAUGCUCACAGUUUGCUUCGUUUAUGGCUGCUCACGUGGAUUAGACCGAGAAAUCACCUGAAGCUUCAGUCGAGUAACUUAAAGUUGUUGUUAAUAAGGAAGAAAAUGCAACAAACGGACGGACAAACGCCCAAACGUGGCUUUCAAACUUUACCUGUGGUUGGAGUGGCGUUGAACAGGCCCAAUGCUCCUGCGUGCUGUGACCUUUCUGACAAAGGGUCCUGUGUGAUUGAUGGGCCACAUCUACACACAGAGGAGUGUUGGAUCUCCAUGCUGGAUCUCAGCUGACAACGCAGAGCCAGAGCCACGUUACACAAAAAACAAGAGCCAGUACUGCAGCUUAACCUUCGCCUGUGCUGGGAUACACCGGAGAGGAGCCAUGAUGCUCCUGCCAUACUUACCACGUCCAAGACUUUUGGUGAUGAUGACACCAGUUCAUCGAUAUGCAGCAGGAGCUCUCCUCACACGGCCGAGCUGCCGUCGUGGCCCAGGAUGUGGCUGAUGUUGUGGGCGGGGCGAUUGGGCUGUUUGCUCGAGUCGGCGGACGAGGUGUUGGAGAGAGACAGCAGAGGAGACAUGGGCAUGGCUGAGCCGUCGGUGGGCAUGCCACUGGCGAUCUCAGGAAACAGGGAGUACUCUUCACCGUGUGACACUACCAACCUUGAGGUGUUCCUGCUGAGCCAGGUGGUUGCUGUGGUGGGCCCUGGACCCUGCUGCUUGGGC